CAUAACACAAGCAAACAAAAAAAAUAGCUGGACGGACACAUCUACAAAGCCCAAGAAAAAGCAAUACCACCCAAAAUUCAACCAACAGAUAUCAACUCAAUUGCUUCUUAGCUCAGUUGCCUUGGAAAUUGGAUUUGCUCUUGUCCUGACAAUAUCUUCAAUGUCAGUACCCUUAUAAUUUGGAGGCACCUGUGAAGCAAUCUUAUCUGCCUUAAUCAGUACUGGAUUAUCAUCUUGCACUUCUCCAUCCUCAACAAAGAUCUGAUCAUCCGGAGGUUUCAAAAGUGAUGCAUACUGGAUCUUAUUGGAAUUUGAUUCUGAUGGCUCUCCUUUCUGCUGCUGUGUAGUAACUAGUUGCUGGUCAGCCACUCCGGUUGGCUGAUCAAUGGUCGUCAUGGCCAUGUUUGAAAGCUUAGGAUCUACGUAUUAGGGUUCUCAGAGAUCAUAGGACAAAUGGCUACUUUGCUCAAGCUACUCGCACCUCAAUGUGCAAUAGCAGUAGGCCAGACACGUAGCUCACCAACAAGCCCAGUUGUACACCUCCGCCGCCGCACAACCCUCCGUAGUGAAGUUGUAAGUGGUUGAACAGAGAAAAGGCUUUAGUGGGUUGUUGUAGUUGCAAAUGUAGAGAUAGAAGAUAAGUCCAGGAGACAAUAUCUGGUUGGGGAAUUUGAUCGAACACCUUGUGGGCAUCCAAAACGUUUGUUCAGCUUUAGUGUAUAUGUUGAGUAGUUUGCAUGCAAAAGAUUGAUGAGAUUGGAUAAAGAGACAACAUGUGAUGGAUUGAGCAUGAAUUUGCUUAGAACCAAAAUAUUUAUUGCUUUGAAGUAGCUGCUGUCUCCAUGGUGUUGGUAUUAGCGAGUUGAGCACUUACAUGCUGCGUGUAAGGUGGUUGGGUUAAGUGCAUUUGUUUACAUUAAGAUCUAACAACUUAUUUGGUCUGAAUAGGUGUUAAUCAUUAAGAUCUUAAACAAAGUCUGAAUAUCAUUAAGAGGUACUUUUUAUGAAUAAUUUUUACCAAUGGCUCCACCACAUCCCCACUCCCACCAACCACCUAACCUUACAACCCCACUCACCACCAACACCACCCAACCCUACCCAACAACCCACCCACCAUCACCACCCGGACCCCACCCCCACCUAUCGACCACCAUCCAUCCCCACCCCAACAACCCACUCACCAUCACCACCCACCUAUCUUACCCCCAACCACCACGACUCACCCCACCACCACGACAACCCCCCUUCCCGCCUCACACACACACAACCCUCCCACCACUACCCACAGCACCUACCACCCAGACCCCUCCCCUCCCCACUUACCACCAACACCAUCCUAACCCCCCCCCCCUACCUUACCCCAACCACCACCCUACCCUUGAACCACCACCACCCACCUAUCUUACCCCAACCACCACCCUACCCUUGAACCACCACCACCCACCCACCUUACCCCAACCACCACCCUACCCCUGAACCACCACCACCCACCCACCACCCCUAUCUCACCUAACCCACCACCAUGCACUUACCCCACCUACCAUCACUACAAAGCAUGUUCACCAUCACUAGCGAACAUAAAUGUUUUAUUUUUUUGUCAAAUAGUAUUCUUAUUUUAUUAAAUUUUUAUUUAGUUACUUUUUUAUUUGAAUUGUAU